rnacentral:rRNA from 1 species
ACGGAAGGCAGCAGUGGGGAAUAUUGGGCAAUGGGCGCAAGCCUGACCCAGCAAUGCCGCGUGAAGGAAGAAGGCUUUCGGGUUGUAAACUUCUUUUAAGUGGGACGAUAAUGACGGUACCACUUGAAUAUGCUCCGGCUAACUACGUGCCAGCAGCCGCGGUAAUACGUAGGGAGCAAGCGUUAUCCGGAUUUACUGGGUGUAAAGGGCGUGUAGGCGGGACUACAAGUCAGAUGUGAAAGCACGAGGCUCAACUUCGUGUCUGCAUUUGAAACUGUAGUUCUUGAGUGUUGGAGAGGCUAACGGAACUCCUAGUGUAGCGGUGAAAUGCGUAGAUAUUAGGAAGAACACCAGUGGCGAAGGCGGUUAGCUGGACAAUAACUGACGCUGAGGCGCGAAAGCGUGGGUAGCAAACAGGAUUAGAUACCCUGGUA